GCUGAUGGAGCAAAUCCAAGCUCUGCUGGCUCCCCCCAAGACGGACGAAGCAGAAAAGCGCAGUCGGAAGCCUGAGAAGGAGCCCCGGAGAAGCGGCAGGGCCACCAACCACGACAGCUGCGAUAGCUGCAAGGAAGGUGGAGAUCUCCUGUGCUGCGACCACUGCCCGGCUGCCUUCCACCUCCAGUGCUGUAACCCUCCACUGAGUGAAGAAAUGUUGCCUCCUGGAGAGUGGAUGUGUCACCGGUGCACUGUUCGCCGAAAGCCCUGGAAUCACCCCACUCUUCCCAUGGUGACUGUUUGGAAUCCAGUAGGGCCUAAAAAUCCAAACAUGGGCUGCUGAAAUGGGCAGAAGAGAAACGAGAGCAGAAAAAGGAGCUGGGUCAUGUCAAUGGACUGGUGGACAAAUCUGGCAAACGGACUACAUCCCCCAGCAGUGACACUGACUUGUUGGACAGAUCGGCCAGCAAAACUGAACUAAAGGCCAUUGCCCAUGCCCGGAUCCUGGAAAGGAGAGCCAGCAGGCCUGGCACACCCACAUCCAGCGCCAGCACAGAGACCCCCACCUCUGAGCAGAAUGAUGUCGACGAAGACAUCAUUGACGUGGAUGAGGAACCAGUAGCAGCGGAGCCAGACUAUGUGCAGCCCCAGCUGAGGCGGCCCUUUGAGCUGCUGAUUGCUGCCGCCAUGGAGCGGAACCCCACCCAAUUUCAGUUGCCCAAUGAACUGACUUGUACCACUGCACUACCAG
rnacentral:sRNA from 1 species